rnacentral:rRNA from 1 species
AUUGAACGCUGGCGGCAGGCUUAACACAUGCAAGUCGAACGGUAACACCAUGCAGCUUUGCGCUUCGCGGAGGAGUGUCGGGGGGGUGAGAGGUGUCCAGCAAGCUCUCCGAUUUCGGGGGAUAUCACGUGGGAACGGUUACUAUAACACCGCAUUCUCCCUAGACGAGAGAGGGGGGGAUUCUCGCAUCUUGCCAGAGGGUAUGCGCCGAUGUGGGAUUAGUUAGUUGGUGGGGUAAAGGCCCACCAAGGAGAGGAUCCGUAGCUGGUCUGAGAGGAUGAUCAGCCACACUGGAACUGAGACACGGUCCAGACUCCUACGGGAGGCAGCAGUGGGGAAUAUUGGACAAUGGGCGCAAGCCUGAUCCAGCCAUGCCGCGUGUGUGAAGAAGGCCUUCGGGUUGUAAAGUCCUUUUGGUGGGAAAGAAGAGCGUCAGGUUAAUACCCCGCCUUAUUGACGGUACCCAAAGAAGAAGCACCGGCUAACUUCGUG